GAGCCCUGACGAAGGAGCAGGAAUGGUGCUGCUGGGAGGAGCUGUUUAUGAGAAAAUGUCCCAGAAGAUAAAACCAGCUGGCUUCAGAAAAGUGGUUCAGUGCUAAGUGCUUCCAGGACCUGCAACUGGAGCUGUGGUAAUUGACAGCAGUUCCCUUUAUUGUGAUACAGUGGGCCACGCAAAGCCCCUUAUUUCCUCUGUGUGCCUUGCACCAGUCCUGAGCAGUUCCGGCCUGCAGCAGAGGCCUGGGGACCUCCCACAUCCCAAUGCCACUCUGGAAGCCUGUGAGUGCCUCAUGUGGAGUCCUGGCUGCUGUCUGCUUGCUUGAACACCAGUAGAAAUGAAGAGUACUAAAGAGGUGAACGGCGCUGAAGAUUUCUGACAUCCUUUUGAAGGCUUCCUGCAGGAAAGAUGAAAUUUCAAACCUGUAUAUUACCUGAACCUUGAUCUCAUCCUGUCUGAUAUUGAAAUAUAUGACCCAAAAGUGCUUCCCUAUGAAUUAGGCACUCAUCAUGCAUUUUAACCUUCUUGGAGAAAAUUAUUCAGGUCUCUGAGUUGCCUGCAUGAGCUAUCUUUUAUUCAUUAGAAUCCUAAAUGUUAUUGACAUGCAUUCUUAAUUAUUCCCUGCUGGAAACAGUAGUGUUCCUGAACAAGUAUUUUGCAUUUGUUAUGUCCUGCUGCUAGCAUAGUUAAUAAUGUAUAUAAUAAUAAAAUAAGAAACUAUCAGAGCAGAAUAAGAGAACUUAUUAAUAUGAUUCAAUAUAAGAAAAUUGUUACUUCUGCCUUCCACAGCCUAACAACAACAUUUUCUGAAUACUUCAAGCACACAAAAUCUUUGGGAUAGCUCUAGAAUGGAAAUGACACUGCCAAAAGAAAAGCUGGCAAGAUGGCACCUGCUGUCCCUCCAAAAGCAUUAACUGGAGUAGUUAAUCCUUGGUGGAGCUCAAGGUGUUGCCAGAAGUUUUCAAAAGCGGUAUUUGGACAUGUGUCUGGAAUUAGUGCUGUUUAUUCAAACAGAAAAUCCCAACCCUAAAAAUUAUAUUUGUGCUUCAGAGCUUCCCCGUCUCAUCUUUU